rnacentral:rRNA from 1 species
UGCCAGCCGCCGCGGUAAUACGGAGGUGGCAAACGUUGCUCGGAAUCACUGGGCUUAAAGGGCGUGUAGGCGGCGAUUUAAGUCGGAUGUGAAAUCUCUCGGCCUAACCGGGAAACUGCAUCCGAAACUGGAUUGCUAGAGUGCGGGAGGGGCAAGUGGAACUCCAGGUGUAGCGGUGAAAUGCGUAGAUAUCUGGAGGAACGCCGGUGGCGAAAGCGACUUGCUGGACCGCAACUGACGCUGAGGCGCGAAAGCUAGGGGAGCGAACGGGAUUAGAUA